rnacentral:rRNA from 1 species
CACGUAGGGCGCAAGCGUUGUCCGGAAUUAUUGGGCGUAAAGCGCACGUAGGCGGUCUGCUAUGUCGGGUGUGAAAUCCCUCGGCUUAACCGAGGAAGUGCAUUCGAAACUGGCAGACUUGAAUACUCAAGAGGGUCUCGGAAUUCCCGGUGUAGAGGUGAAAUUCGUAGAUAUCGGGAGGAACACCAGUGGCGAAGGCGGAGACCUGGGGGAGAUAUUGACGCUGAGGUGCGAAAGCGUGGGGAGCAAACAGG